rnacentral:rRNA from 1 species
CAGCAGCCGCGGUAACACGAAGGGGGCUAGCGUUGUUCGGAAUUACUGGGCGUAAAGCGCACGUAGGCGGACAUUUAAGUCAGGGGUGAAAUCCCGGGGCUCAACCCCGGAACUGCCUUUGAUACUGGGUGUCUAGAGUAUGGAAGAGGUGAGUGGAAUUCCGAGUGUAGAGGUGAAAUUCGUAGAUAUUCGGAGGAACACCAGUGGCGAAGGCGGCUCACUGGUCCAUUACUGACGCUGAGGUGCGAAAGCGUGGGGAGCAAACAGGAUUAGAUACCCCUGUAGUCCCUGUCUCUUAUAC